rnacentral:lncRNA from 1 species
UUCCACCCCAUCAUGGCAGACUGGGCUUACAGGUGAUCAGAGUCACAACUCCCACAUGGGUCACAAAGAUGGGAAUGAGCAGGAAUCAGGAUAAAUAACUCUGACUUCAGCCAAAGGAAAAGCUGGGAAAGGAGGAGAAACAGUGUUUUAUACAUAGAAGCAGGCCAACUGAAAGCACCAUGGCUAAACCAGAGUGAAAUAAAAGCACUUACAUCAUACAGUUUUCCUGCAGUAAAACUCUAAACAUACCAAGGAUUCUUGAAUAUUCCCUUGAGGUUGCUUAUUGGCACCUGCAAAGCAAAAAGAACUCUUUGUAUUGUAUUAAUUAUAAUGUCUCUGUCCCACUAUGCAUAAUGUGAUAGUACUUUCUCACUAUGAGGACUAAGGGGAAAAGUUAGUACUAAUCACCUUCUUUAAAUAACUGUAAUAUUAAUUACCUGAUAUUCCAUAUACAGAGUUUCUGUAGCUUUGCUUGGAAUUAGUUCAGUUGUAUUAAUGAUAAUAAAAUUUCAAUACUUGACUGGGGAAAAU